rnacentral:rRNA from 1 species
AUGGUCGAAUUUAUGGAAUAUUUCACCGGAUGUACACUAUCCUACCCAAUUACACAGGAAAUGAUUACUUCUUUUAGGUUUAAGUUAGCCAGCAUAAUAUUAUGUUGGAAAACAAACACUGCAUCAAUGACUACAAUCGUUGAAGAAAGUGACGAUGACAAUAAGGGAGGUCCUGAUGAUGUUCAAAUAUUGGAAAGUGUAGAUGAUAUUAAAAAAAACAAAACAAAAAAUCCCAUUAUCUGUUGA